rnacentral:snRNA from 1 species
AGCUUUGCACAGUGGCAGUAUCGUAGCUAAUGAGGUUUAUCCGAGGCACAAUUAUUGCUAAUUAAAAACCAGGAUCCAACUACGACUUUCUUUGACUGUUUCCUCCUUAUUUAUUUUUCCAGAAAACUCUUUAGUG